AACGGCCAUACCCUGGAUAUACCGGUUCUCGUUAGAUCACCGAAGUCAAGCAUCAUUGGGCGCGGUCAGUACUUGGGUGGAUGAUCACCUGGAAACACCGCGUGCCGUU
rnacentral:rRNA from 1 species